rnacentral:lncRNA from 1 species
ACUGUUCCAAAAUACUUAAACAAAUCAUUGGACAUAUUGCUUUUGAUAUCAAUUUUUUAUUAUCAAUAUAUUUUUAUUGCUAAUUUAUUUUAAUAUUUUAACUUCUUGUUUUCUUUUUUAAGCUCAAUAACAAAAAAUGGAGGGGAUUAUGAACAGAGCCUUGGAGCUAACACCUCACUGUAAAAGAUUGAUAAAAAGAAACAGUCAUAGCAAAGAGACAGACUUCGUAACUGAAAAUCAGCUUAAGUAUUCUCCUAUGAGCCUCAUAUUUGCACUGCAGCCACACACCUGAAAUUAGAAAUCAUAUCUGAAAAGAAUGGACCUUGGGCCUAACUCAACCCCAAAAGCUAGCUUAUGAGGUGAGGAUUGCCCAAACCAUAUAAGGAGACUAAGGACCUCAAAUCCCUCCGAUGUGGGACAAUUCAACACCCCCCUCACGCCUAGAUUUCUGGAGCGCGGACAACACAAAUGGGGGCCCAACAUCGGUAACAAUAAUUGGGAUGGGUCUGGGUCUGAUACCAUGAUAAGAAUGGACCUUGGGCCUAACUCAACCCCAAAAGCUAGCUUAUGAGGUGAGGAUUGCCCAAGCCAUAUAAGGAGACCAAGGACCUCAAAUCCCUCCGAUGUGGGACAACUCAACAAUAUCUUUGCUCAACAUUGUUUUCUAUUAUUUUUUUUAAUAAUUAUCUUUGGUGAGAAUUGUUAGAGGACGAAGAACUGGAAAUGGGUUUUACAUCCGGACCUGCCUUCUUGUUUGCAAGGAUAGGAAGGUUAUACGGCAUAGCCACUAGGAGGAAGCAGGGCUUCAGAUCAAAACCAAGGUGAAGGGAGCAUCGGCUAUAUCCAAUUUCCAGAUAUUUUAGCAGUGACAGUUGGAUUUUGUUUUUAUUUUUAAUGAAAGCAACGCCACAUGGUUUUGUCUCAGGCACAUCAACCAAAAUAUAUUAUCAUUCUUGAGUAACAGAAAAAUAAAGAAACAUAUAUUCAACCAACAAUAUAUUUCUUGUACGUGCAUUGCCCACAAGAAGCCAUCUGAAUCACAAAAUCAAAUUGACCACAGCCAAAUUCAGGGUUCUACCAGUGUGAGGAUUACAGAGGCAAUGGAUUGGUGUAUUUUAGUUGAAAACCACAUAUCAUCAUUCACAAUUUUUUAAUACAUGAAACAGACAAGAAGAGACUGUAUUUAUUCGACAGAAGGUAGGGGUGGCCCCGGUGGACGAAAAGAUGCGGGAAGCGAGGCUGAGG